rnacentral:tRNA from 1 species
GGUAGGAUGGCUGAGCAUAAGCGGUGGAUUGUAGACCCACAUACAGAGGUUCGAACCCUCUUCUUACCA